rnacentral:rRNA from 1 species
UACGUAGGUGGCAAGCGUUGUCCGGAAUUAUUGGGCGUAAAGCGCGCGCAGGCGGCCUUUUAAGUCUGAUGUGAAAGCCCACAGCUCAACCGUGGAAGGUCAUUGGAAACUGAAAGGCUUGAGUACAGAAGAGGAAAGCGGAAUUCCACGUGUAGCGGUGAAAUGCGUAGAGAUGUGGAGGAACACCAGUGGCGAAGGCGGCUCACUGGCCCGGUACUGACGCUGAGGCGCGAAAGCGUGGGGAGCAAACAGG